rnacentral:rRNA from 1 species
UACAGAGGGUGCGAGCGUUAAUCGGAUUUACUGGGCGUAAAGGGCGCGUAGGCGGUUAGUUAAGUUUGAUGUGAAAUCCCUGGGCUUAACCUAGGAACUGCAUUGAUUACUGGCGAGCUAGAGUACUGUAGAGGGUAGUGGAAUUUCCGGUGUAGCGGUGAAAUGCGUAGAGAUCGGAAGGAACACCAGUGGCGAAGGCGGCUAUCUGGACAGAUACUGACGCUGAGGCGCGAGAGCGUGGGGAGCAAACAGG